UCACCCCCACCGUCCGCUUCCUCAUCGAUGCUCGCCGUCGAGCGCCCAUGGGCACACUGUGGCCGACCGCGCCAUAAUGGCGUUCGGCCGCGUCUCUCCUGCGCUCCCUUGGCCGCCUCUUCCCCAUGAGCUCUCCCUCCUGUUCCCUCUCGCCGCCUUCCCCCCGAGCUCAUGCGCGUGGGCACGCGUCCGCGGCGCCGGACACGCGUCCGUGGCGAUGACAGCUCGGCACCUUGCCGCGUGCCUAUAAAUGGCCUUUCCCGAGCUCUUUGAGCACAACACCAGCCUCACCCCACUCCAGCAAGCCUCCCUGACCUUUUCCCCGAGCUCGAGCAGCUCUCCUCGACCCCCAUCGCCGCCAUGGCCGCCGCUCUGCUCGGCUCAAAUUUGAGCAUGGCAGCACUCCUCCCCUCCCCUUUCCACCACAAGUAGAUCCUCCAGAUCAUACCGAACCUCCCCGUUUUAUCCAUUUCUCCCCGGAGCCAGCGUGGCCGCGCGCCACCGAAGUAGUCUGCCGCCGUGGUUCUCUGCAUCCAUGGCGCGUCAUCGUUCCACACCUCUCCGGCGUGCGUGUGGCCACUGGAUGGAUGCGUCUCGUCUCCCUGACCAUCCCGGUGGCCGGUGCGCCGCCGGAGGUGGCCUGUGGCGCCGGAGCCCGUCACCGGUGACGCGCCCUCCCCUGCCUCCUCUGUCCCGUGCGGGAGCAGGGCGAGGAAGAAGAAGACAGAGGCCAGGCGGGCCCUCUUCUCCUUGCGGGCCCUGCCUGGCAGCCUCAGCGCGUUGACCCCAGGUGCCAGCAUGGAUAAGUGACACACCCCGGUCCCACCUCAGCCGACUGGAUUAAGUGGAGGCGUACUCGGGCAAGUACGUUUUAAUCUUCGGGAAAGCGCAUUUUCCCUCUGCUUCAGCUCAAAGGUCUUGUUUGUGAUGAUAUUUUUAUAGAAAAGUCCCUGAACUUCAACCCUUCAUAUGUUUUUAACCACAACUCCAAAUGAGGUGAAUCCAAAGCCCACUUUUUCGUCUCGUCGAGCCCGUUCUAUUGGUUACAUUUUCACUAUGGUUUGACACUGUGAAAAUGACCUUUUUUCCCUUCCCCGUAAAACAGCCCCUCCGAGAGAGAACUGUUUCCGGCAAAUCUUUCUGCGGCUUCACCGCACUUCUCCCCGGUGCCUUCUUCAUCCCCAGGCAAGCCACAAUACCCACUAGCAUGGUAGUGAUGCAGUAUCCAUGGUUUUCAACUUGAAUAUUUAUUAAGUGUUUGAUUGCUUAAAAUAUGGUUAUAGUUGUUUCGGUAAUGCUUAUGGGUUCAUGCUUACUUACUUGCUAUGUUGUUAUGCACUUGGUUGUCAUGCCCUGCUAGUUGCUAGUAUUCUUUAUGCUUAUGCUUGCUAGUAGUAUAUGUUGAUAGUGGUGACGGUCUUCGGUGCAUGACUGCCGUCUGUCCCGAGUACUGGUGUUAUGCAUGUUCCGUUGCAUCCAAUUGGUUAAAUGAUUGCAUGGCAGCUUUAUUGAUACGUCUUGCAUGAUAUUUAUUGUUGAUGGUAGUGGUCAUGCUAGGUUUCAAUGAGUAGUAUGUACUUAUGAGGUUCAUGCUAGUCAGUAUGCCAUGUUUAGUUGGAUAUAAUUUAUUGUUGAUAUGGUGGAUAGUUAUGUGGUUCUCUCAUGAUUAUGUUGAUAUCAUGCUCAUGCAUUGUAAUUGCAUCAUGUUAUUUUAUCAUGGCUCAGCAUAUUCCAUUCAAGUUUAACCGGAUUAAAUUGAACUUGAACAACUGUUGGCUGAGUCAUGGUGCCACCAUAUCGAAACUGACAUGUGCAACCACGCUUACCUUUAUGGGAAGGUCCUAACUGGGUCUAUUGUCGUGCCUCUCGUCAGUGCCUCCAACGAGGGAAGGUUACGGGCGCGCGCUACCCUGAUCAGGUAGCCGGACAUAACCUUGUGUCCCCAUUGUUGUUGAGUAUGGAUCCUCGUCCCCGUUUGGGACCGUUUCGUCACGACGGUGGCCGUUGGUGCCUUUGGUAGGCACAGGGCCACCCAGGACCUAGCCCAAAGGGGAGUUGGUUGGAGUGGCCGUGAGAGUGUCAUGGCAGUAGAUUGGUUAUGUCGGAACGCCGUGUCCAUACGUAUGGGAGUGCGAGACCAUGGGUUUCGUAGUGUGGGUACAGUGCACUACCUCUGCAGAGUGUAUACUAAAUCUAUCGAUAGCCGCACCCGCGGAUAAGGGCCCAGUUCGUGGCGGUCCCACCAUGAGUCAACAGUAUUAAUAAUAACUUGAUUAAUGACAACCCCGGUUCAGUGAUGAAAUAAGUUGGUUGUGAUCGCUGGAAGGAUCACCGUUUGAGAUAAGUUGGUUGUGAUCGCCGGAAGGAUCACCGUUUGAGAUAAGUUGGUUGUGAUCGCCGGAAGGAUCACCGUUUGAGAUAAGUUGGUUGUGCUCACCGGAAGGAUCACUGUUUGAGAUAAAUUGGUUGUGAUCGCCGGAAUGAUCACCGUGGUAUCGAGGAUACCGAGUUGUUGGAUAUUUGUGAUGUUGUCUGAGAAUCAUGGGUAAAGAUCAAGAUCCUUGUGGUCAUUUGGUGAUUACUAUGGUAUUGUUUAUACCAAGCUUGAUUUGAUCCUGAGAUGGUCGUGUGAUGACCGAGGUUGGUAAGUGAUGCAUGUGCUGGUUACGAGGUAACUCGAGUAGAAUAAAUGGUGCAUGUAGUGUCAUGAUGUUGCAUGCUAGUAUCAUCAGAUUUAUAUGUUGUUGCCAUGAUCAUAUUGUUCUAGCAGUAUUAUGUUCAUGUUGUUCAUGCCAUGUUAUUCUGAUGAUCUCAUGACAAUUCCUGCUUAACCUGUAAUUUCCAUGUUGUUGUUUGUCUUGAAUGCUUCUGAUUAUUGUGAGCUUGCAAGUACAUUCAAUGUACUGACCUGGCGUGUCAUGCCAGCUUGUAGGUCGUGCCUGGAUUGCUUGCUUGUUUGGUGCUGUUCCUGUGUUCGCGAGCUAGGAUAAACAUUCCAGCCAGAGUCCCUGUGGAUUGGAGUCCUUCACCACCGUUGUCGUUGUUCUGCUGCUAGAAGUUUUUCCACUGCGUCGAGUUGUUCUGCUGCUUGCAUAGAGCAACUGAGGAUGGCGUAGUGUCACCGUGCCGAUGUUAUUCAUUGUAAUAUCGGAGACCUUGUAUUCAUAUUUGUGUAAUAAUAGAAAGCUGGUUUGUUCUAUGCUAAGCUGUGCCGUAUUCCAGAAGACUUCUCCUCGAUCUCUGGGCUGGAAUACGGGGCGUUCCUGUUUCUCUGAGCCGGGGUGCCACAAAUGAUCUACACAACAAUGCAUAUCCGACAAGUGAUGUACACAUAUUAACCACUUUCUUGCUCAAUGAUUUGCGCACCA